rnacentral:lncRNA from 1 species
ACCAAGGGCGUGGCUACUCUUGCCUUCUGAAGCAAAGGCGGGGCUCCUCCCUGGUCCUGAGGUGGUGACCAUCUUCUGUCCCCUGGCUCAGCCCUGCUAUCACCCUCCUCCUGCCUACUGAUUCCCACACCGUUGGAUGCAGCAGGUUAGUGGCCUGGGGGGGUGAAGGGUGAGGCCUGCUUCCUUCUUGCCUGUACAGGAAAAUCCACCAGAAGUUUUCACACACGAUCUUCACAGAGCUUUGGGGAUGGGGGAGGGUAGAUAUUUUUAGCUGAAAACUUUUACCAGAAGAAAGGCCACACCAGGACCGAGAGGAAUGGACGUCAUCUCAUCUGGCUGUCAUCUCUCUCGUUCCAGGUUCCUCUAAAAGAGGGAGAGAGCCUGAGACCGCUUGAAGAGCUAUCCUCUGUCCGCACCCGCCCACCUGCUGCAGCUGCACCCGAACUGCUGGGAACGUGAGAAAGUCGUGGCAUGGGGGAUCACAGUCUGCCUUCUGCCUCAACAGCUGGGCUCUCCUCCAGCUGGUGACAUUCAGGGUCUGGAGGGCCAGGACCACCUCCCCUCAUCCGUACGCCAGUGCCCCGUCUUUGGGCCUUUCACGGAGACAUGGUUCUGAUGAGGCAGCUCCACCCAGCUUCCCUUGCUCACAUCUGACCGGUCCUCCACACUCAUUUCAGAUGUCACCACCUGGGGAAGCCAUGUUAGAUGGCUACAGACACUCAUCAUUCUCCCACACGCAACAGACUGCUUGUCCCUAGGGUCCUGCUCCCACUAGGCUGAGGGACUAGGGGCCUCUCAGGAUGCGUGCAUCGCUGGAGCAGGGAACCUGUCCACUCCAUUGUAGCCAGUGACCUAGGGCAAUUCUCUUAUCCACUGUAAACUUUGGCUUCUAUGAGUUAAAGGAGAGAAGACAGCCUUGUGUUGAACAUUUUGUGAUGUUAGAGAGAGGCUCUUAUGGUGCACUGUGCACAGCCCUGUCCAUCCCUGGAGAGCCAGUGCCUGAGUGAGGCUGUGGGCAGGGACCUGGGCCUGGGCACCCUGGACCCUGAAAAGACCCCCCCCUUCUCUUAGAUUUUGGCAACACUUACAAACCCAGUGUGACCACACAGCUGGCCUAUGGCCUGCUCCCUACUGCUCUGAGACAAAGUGGCAAUCCUAGGGAGCUACAGAGGGACAGAUACUGGCUACUGUCCCAGGGGCAACUUCCCAUGUUACUCUGUUCUUAUGCCAGAGGCUUUGUUCUGAGGCUGUGGUUGGACUUGGUAAGGUUCUUACCCACAGGGGCCGGAGGCAAGGUACAGACAGCCCUCUGAGGGAAUGCUAUGCUGGGGACCCAGCACGCAGCCUGUGCAAGAUGGCACCUCUCAGAGGGCCCCUUGCAUUUACACCCCCUCAUGGCAGGAAGGUGAGCCCUGUUUAACUGGGAUGCCAGACAUGGACUCUGCUGUUGGUAGCACUGUGGAGGGAGCUCUACUUGUUUCCUGUCCGUGGGGUAACUAACACUGGAUUUCCCCUGAGAGAUGACUCCACAUUGCCAUCCCAGCUUCCUGGUCUCCGGAACCAUGGUGCAAAUAAACUUCCGCGGAUGUAAAUCUCCUGGUUGUGGUCUGUGCUGCUCCUUUAGGUAUACAUAAGACAAAAACGUCUGCUUCUAUGGGGCUUCAACCCCCAGGCUCUUGGCUCUACCCUGCGGUGCCUGCUGCCACCUGUUAUUAUUUAUUAAGCUUACUCCAUCCAAUGGUCAGGCUGGAAGGACCAGGAGAUGAACUGGAAACUGGAGUAGGGGGUGAGAAGCCAGAGGCCAGAGCAGUAGAGAUGGGCCGAGUAGUCAGGCAUCUGCCCUCAUGGCUUAGCCUCUAGCAGCCCCUGGGGCUCAUCCAUCCACAGCCUGG